AUCUGACUGUGCAGAGCACUGCUGCACGAUGUGCGUGCUGCUGAGAGCACAUGGAGGAGAGAGCACGAGCACUUAGCAGCUUUGCUAAUGGAGCCUUACUCGAAUAUAAAGAAACCAAGAGCGUUUACAUCUAGAAAGUGGACGGAUUUGUUUGAGGCGUCCAAACUGGUGUAAAGAAAGCUGGUGAAGAUGUUUUUAAGACGAUGUAAGCGACAUCAUCUUCAUGGAAGUUGUGAGAGAGAACAGAGCGAUGGAUGGUCUGUGCUCCGUUGGCAGAUAAAAGCAGGAAGUCGUCCCCACCCAGAUACAAGCAGUAAUGUAAUGAGUUGACAGAGAUAGAAAGCACCAGUGCAUCAGUCACUCACCCUGCCAAUGAGGAAUGAGGUGAAGAGGUUGUGAUAAGAGCAUGCCGCGGGGCGGCCUGACCUUCAGAGUAUUGGACUGAACGCGGACAGAAGCGACACGGCAUGAGCCGGGAAACACGAGGCACUUAACCUGGGAGACGUUGUCCUGCUGAACAUCGUGAGUCACACUGGCAGUGAUGACAUUAAAGUAUGAUGUCACCUGGACUGUUAAAUGGGUCAGAUCACCUAAUCGUGGACCAGACUGAUCUUAAAAGGAGAUUGUGUCCAUGUUGUGUUAAAUUUUAAAAUUCUUACGUCAAUGGUAUUUAGAGCGGCCUAUCAGUUAUUGUCUGAUAUAUUUCUGAAUAAAAUUAUUUAUUAAACAAAAAUGCACAGAUUAAGCUUGUUUUCUAUUAAAAUGUUUAAGUGUUUUACUUACCCAUAUGUCAUUUACCUUCAUAAUAUGUAAUAUGGCUGUCUUAAAAUGCAAUUCUCAAAACUUAUAAUACUUAAAAUAACAAUGUGUUAAACCCAAAGUGACCCGAUUAAACGGUAAUACUGACAUGUACUGUACGUAUUAAUGUUUAAGUACAUUUGAAAUGUAUGACAUUAUGGUGAUGAUGUCUAUAUAAUAAGAUGGUAUAAUUAAGUAAAGCGCUGGCCGGGAUUUUCCAGUGCAGCCUCAGUAAAGCCUCAGGUUAAUGGUAUUGCUUUAGAUCUGCUGUUGGGGAUUGAGACACAUCCCUUUAGAUUAAUCCGAGUGCCUUAGAUGAUGGGAUAACAGGAUUCCACCAACCCUUAUAACAGGAGGAGGGUUCAGCGGAGGACACGCCCAAUCUGGCUAGACUUUUCCGUCAGUGGAUUCUCAUAAUCCUCUUUCUCGGAUGUGAUCACCUCUAACGAAAAACAAAAAGCUCUGGGGUCUUAUGUGAUAUAUCAAUCUGAUGUUUUUUGAGAAUGGUGAAUAAAAGCGAUGGAAAGACA